rnacentral:rRNA from 1 species
UACGGAGGGCGCAAGCGUUGUUCGGAAUUACUGGGCGUAAAGCGCGUGUAGGCGGCCAGGUAAGUCGGAUGUGAAAGCCCGGGGCUCAACCCCGGGACUGCACCCGAUACUGCCUGGCUGGAGUCCCGGAGAGGAUGGCGGAAUUUCCGGUGUAGAGGUGAAAUUCGUAGAUAUCGGAAGGAACACCAGUGGCGAAGGCGGCCAUCUGGACGGUGACUGACGCUGAGACGCUAAAGCGUGGGGAUCAAACAGG